UGCUUUUCAUUGUAUGUGUAUAUAUAUAUAUAUAUAUAUAUAUAUAUAUAUAUAUUUGUGUAACAAAAAAAUCUCGAUUUCGAUUAUCACGAAGAUUUAUUUUUCGUUUAACGUUUGAGGACAUAAUUUUUUUCAAUGAUUAGAUCGUUAUUGGACAAUUUCGUUGGAAAAUAUUCUUUCGUUCUGAAUACGUUCCAAAAAGUCGAUAACACAUUUUUACGAGAGUCGUGAGUGUUUCGUCUAUUAAACGCAUAACCCUUUCACUAACAGUGCAUCUCUCUCUUUCUUUUUUUUCCCUCUCUUACAUACUACGCCAUCUCUUGGCUGCGCUUUGGAGUCAGGUACGCGCCAAAACUACCUUCGGUCUUCUUCGUCUUCGAAGAUGGCUUCGUGUUUCAGAUUCUCACUGGGAAUUUUGUAAUCCGACAAAAGUUCUCUCAUUCUGACCAUUGGAGUCUUUUCUCAUUCUCUGUGAAACUAUGACGCACAAUGCGAAUAUAUAUAUAUAUACAUUUAUAUAUAUAUGUAUACAUAUAUAUAUAUAUAUAGUUAACAGUAAAUAUGUCCAAGCAUCACUUACUACGAAAGUUGAUGAGAUUUUAUCAACAAUAUGGGACUUAUUAUUAAUAAGACAUAACACUAUUCUUACUUCGUAUGAAGAUCCUACGUCGAUCCGCCAUGCCGAUGAGUCUUCUCUAGACACAAUUUAACGUUUCCUCACUCGCGAUGAGACACAUCGACAGACCCCCCUUCCGACGCGAAGGACCAGGGGCCUUAUCGAUGAAAAAUUCUUCGGAGCCCUCGCGCCUGCGCCAUUCGUGUUACGUAAUCUAACCAAGAAGACUAGAAGGAGAUCAAAGUUACUAUAGUAAUACAUGUGUCUGAAAAAUUGAGAGAUAUAUGUAUAUAUAUAAACACACAAUACAAAAGCGUAGAUAUAUAUAUAUAUAUAUAUAUAUAUAUAUAUGCGUGUGUAUUUCGGAUUCUCUUUCUCGCAUAAAUUUGUCUCUUUUGUCUGCGUACAAAGUAUUACGCGCAACUGUCUAACUUACAUGCCAAUGUAAUUUUAAACUUUAUGGAAUGUUAAAAGAAAAAAAAAAAAAAAAAAAAAAAAGUUAAUGAAAAAAAAGAGAAAGAAAAAAAAAAGAAACGAAAAAUCUACGCUUAAAAAAAAUGAAUAACACACCGAUAUCAUAAUAAUAAUUACAAUUUCAGAGUAAUGUAAUAAUCUUACCAUUUGAUUAGAAAUAUAAUAAACGUUUAAAUAGUCCCAA